rnacentral:rRNA from 1 species
UCAGCUAGUUGGUGGGGUAACGGCCUACCAAGGCGACGACGGGUAGCCGGCCUGAGAGGGUGAUCGGCCACACUGGGACUGAGACACGGCCCAGACUCCUACGGGAGGCAGCAGUGGGGAAUCUUGCGCAAUGGGCGAAAGCCUGACGCAGCGACGCCGCGUGGGGGAUGAAGGCCUUCGGGUUGUAAACCCCUUUCACCACCGACGAAGCCUUCGGGUGACGGUAGGUGGGGAAGAAGCGCCGGCUAACUACGUGCCAGCAGCCGCGGUAAU